UUCCGUAGGUGAACCUGCGGAAGGAUCAUUAAUGAAACUUCAAAGUCGGCCAAAGGUUGUUGCUGGUGAUUAUUCACAUGUGCACGCCUUUGGUCGCAAAUCCACACACACCUGUGCAUCUAUGACUCGAGGUUGUAAUGACUGAGAGUAACUUUUACACACUCUUGUAUGUAAUGGAAUGUCUUUUUGUGCUAUAAUGUACAAUAUAAACAACUUUCAACAACGGAUCUCUUGGCUCUCGCAUCGAUGAAGAACGCAGCGAAAUGCGAUAAGUAAUGUGAAUUGCAGAAUUCAGUGAAUCAUCGAAUCUUUGAACGCACCUUGCACCCUUUGGUAUUCCGAAGGGUACGCCCGUUUGAGUGUCAUUGUAAUCUCACUUCUACAACUUUAUUGUUGUUUGAAUGUGGACUUGGAUGUUGCCGUUUUAUCACGGCUCGUCUCAAAUGCCUGAGUGUACCCUGUUUUGCAGCGUAUCCAGUGUAAUAAACAUUUCACUAGAGUUGGUCGAAAGACCGYGUUGACUAUAUGGGCUCUAUGCUUCAAACYGUCUGCCAUGUGGACAAUUUCUUGACAAUUUGACCUCAAAUCGGGUGGGACUACCCGCUGAACUUAAGCAUAUCAAUAAGCGGAGGAAAAGAAACUAACAAGGAUUCCCCUAGUAACGGCGAGUGAAGAGGGAAAAGCUCAAAUUUUAAAUCUGGUGUCUUUGACUCCCGAGUUGUAAUCUAGAGAAGUGUUUUCCGUGUCGGACCGUGUACAAGUUCCCUGGAACGGGGCGUCAUAGAGGGUGAGAAUCCCGUAUAUGCCAYGGACUACCGAUGCUCUGUGAUACACUCUCAACGAGUCGAGUUGUUUGGGAAUGCAGCUCAAAAUGGGUGGUAAAUUCCAUCUAAAGCUAAAUAUUGGCGAGAGACCGAUAGCGAACAAGUACCGUGAGGGAAAGAUGAAAAGCACUUUGGAAAGAGAGUGAAACAGUACGUGAAAUUGUUGAAAGGGAAGCGUUUGAAGUCAGUCGCAUCUGUUGGGGUUCAGCCUGGCUUUUGCCUGGUGUAUUUCCUUUCCGAUGGGUCAGCAUCAGUUUCGACCGAGGGAAAAAGACAUUUGGAAUGUGGCUGUCUUCGGGCAGUGUUAUAGCCUUGUGUUGUAUGUCUCGGUUGGGACUGAGGAUUGCAGCGCGCCAUAAAUGGCCGGGGGUCGCUCCUCUCGACACGCGCU
rnacentral:rRNA from 1 species